rnacentral:rRNA from 1 species
AGAUGCGAUCAUACCAGCACUAAAGCACCGGAUCCCAUCAGAACUCCGAAGUUAAGCUUGCUUGGGCGAGAGAAGUACUAGGAUGGGUGACCUCCUGGGAAGUCCUCGUGUUGCAUUCC